AACGACUCUCGACAACGGAUAUCUCGGCUCUCGCAUCGAUGAAGAACGUAGCGAAAUGCGAUACUUGGUGUGAAUUGCAGAAUCCCGUGAACCAUCGAGUCUUUGAACGCAAGUUGCGCCCGAAGCCAACAGGCCGAGGGCAUGUCUGCCUGGGUGUCACGCA
rnacentral:rRNA from 2 species